CUCUCCUUAGCUCAUCUGGAAGAGCGUGGGACUGUAAUGGAUUGUAGACCAUCCCGAGGCACUGGGUUCGAUCCCCAGAGGGAGA